AGAGCUUCAAUUAGACUCUCCAAGCAAUCUCUAGGGUCACCUGAAACUGCCUUCGGCAUCAAAUGCUCCGCCACAUCCGCCGGAGUGAUCGCCGUUUCACUUAUUAGCUUCUCAAUCUUCGAAAACAGAGGAUGCCGUUCAAUCUUCAGGUAAUUCUUCGCCAGUACCUUGAACGCUUCAAAUCCACAGAACGACAUUUCUAUAUGCUUAUCCAUUCUUCCUUUUCUAAUCAGUGCUGGAUCCAGUUUCUCGACAUAGUUCGUCGUGAAGACUAUCAGUCUUUCUCCUCCACAUGCCGACCAGAGUCCGUCUAUGAAGUUCAGAAGCCCCGAAAGCGUCACUUCGCUGGGGUUUGUAUCACUAAUUUCUCUCAUCAUCAUUCUUUUUAUUGGAUCCUUGUCUAUAUCUUUUUUUCCUUUCUCGGUUUUGUUUGUCCGUUGGCCUGUGAGAUCGAGGGAACAAUCAAUGUCCUCGAUUACGACGACGGAUUUGCUUGAUAUUUCCGUAAGUAAUCUCCUCAAUUCUAGGUUGUUUUUUACGGACGUUAAUUCGAGAUCGUAAAUGUCGUACCCUAAAAGAUUCGCCAUCGCCGCUAUCAUCGUUGAUUUUCCAGUUCCUGGUGGACCGUACAGGAGAUAUCCUCUUUUCCAAGCCCUACCGAUUUCUUUGUAAAAUUCCUCCGCCUGACUGAACGCAAUUAGGUCAUCCAUUAUCUCUUUCUUCCUCUCCGGCUUCAUUGCCAAUGUCUUAAACGUCGCUGGAUGUUCGAACACAACGUGGCUCCAUUGAGCGUCUUGGUUAGUGAAAAGCUUCCGUUGCCUGUUCUUUACCUUAAUCGCUUUCCCCUCUUUGAGUACAUGGUUCAAAUACUGGCUGAUUAUGAGAUCUCUGUACCUUCUAUGAAACGUAAGCAUAAAAAACCUUUUAUCCUCUGUUGCUGGGUGGAAUGAAAUCGUCUGAGAUUUGUUAAUGAUUCUUCCCGAUGACCACCAUAGCUUUAUCCCCUCGUAUUGUUCUGCAAUUUCUUCGUGAUCAUCCAUGGUGAGUACCAAAGAUUGAUUGCUCUGCAUGGAAUCUGCCUUCAAGCGUUUGGCUUCCGAUGAGGAGUUUCUGGUGAGGUAAUUCUGAAUAGCAAUAUAAACUUCACUCCGAGUGAAACCCUCUCCGGUGAACUCAUUGAAAGUGAUUUGAACAUAAGGAUAAAAGAAACUCACAAAUCUAUGAGAGUAUUUCUCGAAACAAGCACGAAGCUCAAAUGGAAAAUACUGCUGAAAAAUAGCCCAUAUGAACACCAAACUCCCAAUUAUCGAUCCAACACUGGUGAAUAAUUCUGCAAAUGCCAUUUUUCUUCAAUCUUCUUCUUCUUCCUCAGAGCUAUCUCUUGUUCCAGCUUUGAAAGUUUUUUAUCUUGUUUGGCUUGGCUUGAAUUUCAAUUUUCAAAGCUAACGGUGUUUGAAAAUUAGUUGUUCAAUCUUCAAAGUUUCAGAUUAGGGAUUGACUUUAAUGGGGUUUGGCUAUUUCUUAAGAGGCAGACAAAGCAAUUUUAAUUGUUUUCUUGUAGUAUAUGCUAUUGUAUUUCGUCAAAUUUGAAUUGAAUUCUUAUUUCAUUUUCGUUGUUUGUGAUCAUCUAUUUAUUGCCGACUGCCGUCUUUGAUUUAUCUUUAACAUGGAUGGAUGGAUAAAUUACAAUUUUUCUUUUUUCCCAACCAGGAGGGUCAUUAAUUCUCUCAAUUAUAAAGGUUAUAUCAAUUCUAUUAGAUUGCAUUCCCUUUUUGUGUACGUCUACACAAAAAGGGCAAUAAAAGAUUGCAUUCCCUUUUUACCCCUAUAUUUUUAAUAAAUGAUUACUUUGCCCUAUUUUUGGAUACACUCUUCAUUUGGCGUCUAUUGAGUGAUGUCAAGACAAUAGAGGUGUAACCUCAUGAUGACAUGACGGGUGCAAGUGGUUGCACAUUGAAUUCUUGGAUCCAUUUCUACAUAUGAAUGUGAUUUAUGUGUAAAAAUGUGACUUCACGCAUAGGUGUUUGUUGACAUGAUUCGAUCUUUGAAGCAUUACUCUUUGAGUUAAGAUGUCAUAAUUGCUUUUGUAGAGACGGAUGCACAUCAUACGAACGAGCAUCAUACGAACGAAUGUGACAUGUAUAAAAGGUAGCUUACUCACCUUAGCAUUUUUACACUACAAAAGUAGAUUUGUUACUUGAAUAAAUAUAUUUUAUGUUAACAAAACACGUGGUAAUAAAUAUACUUAAUUAGCAUGAUUUACAAUUAACAUCAAACUAUUUUAAAAAUUAAAAAAAAAGUAAUAGACUAAUUAAUGAAUGUAAAUACAUGCGUCGAAUCAAUACUCGUACUUUUUAAAAGAUAAAAAAGAUUCAAGUCUUCUAGGUAAUUUUAAGGAAAAAAAGAGAGAUGAUUUUGUCUUAUUGUGAUUACUGAUUUGAUUCUUUAACAGUCAACAACACUUUUCUUAAAAUUAUUGAAACUUUAUUCAUUAAUUCUUUUUAUUGUCUUGAUAAACAUCCUACAAAAUUUAUGAUUUUUAUCAAUUAAACUCUUAAUUGAAACUUUCCUAAUCGAAUUAUUUUAUAUUUUUAAUUAAGAUUUCCUUUGAAGAUUCAAUGUAUUAACUUUAAUCUUCCAUUUUGUUAAUAUCAUAUUUUAAGAAGUCUACAAGCAUACAAAAGUUGGUGACAUUAAUGACUUUCUAUUAAGGUUCUAAAUUGAUGCACUCUCUAGAAGUCAUAAUUAAUAUUCAUCCUGUAAUAAAUUUUCUAUUUUUUUCUUAAUUAUUCAUAAAUAAAAUUUAUAAUAAUGUGCCCUCAAUUAAAUGAUUACUUUAAAAAACCUGGGCAAAUUUUUUUAACCUAGUAGACAAUUGAUAAUUUAGAGAUAUGCAAAGCGAGUUUAAACUCUUUUUUUUUUUUUUUUUUUCAUUAUGAAAAUGCAAAUUACAUUUAAAAUAGGGGUUUUUCAAAAUUAUAAUAAACAAUAAAAUACUUACACUGAAUAUAAUAAUUUCAAAAACGAAAAAAAGUUUACAUGCCUAUAAUAAGUUUACAGGCCUACAACGAAAAAUAACAAAAAAGAUCUAGUCAACAGGUGCGCAUAAUUUUUCUUCUAAACCAUAACGAUAGGCGAUCGUGUAGCCAAAUCUAGACGAUCUAGUACCAAUAUUCCAACCGAUUUAUAUUUGGUACAUGAUCUUGUAAAUUAUUUUAUAUUACCAAAUAUAAUUUUUUAAAUAUUUGGUACACGACUGUGUAGAUUGUUUUAUAUUUGGUACACGAUGGUGUAGAUUGUUUUAUAUUUGAUAUACGAUAUUGAAUCAAUAUUUUGAAAAAAAACAAUACAAGAUUUAUGUUGAUUGAAAACAAAGACAAUGAUUUCAAAAAAAAUAUAUAAAAGAAAAGUUGAAGAAGAAUAUAAGAAAGAAUAUGAAUAAAAAAAGAAAAAUUGCCAAAAAAAAAAAAAAGAGAAGAAAGAAGAUGUAAAAGAAGGAAGAAAUCGGAGCUCAAAAAGUCUAGAUAAAGCGGCAAAGACAAACUUGAAAUAUUAAAAAAAUGGCCGACUUCAUGAACUUUUUAAUUUUGUCAUACAAGUCAAAAAAUGGCCGACUUCGUAAACUUGUGCUUUGACAUUUCAACUAGUUAGUAUGAUGCACAAGGUUAGAUAUAGUUUGGAUGCACUUAAGUAUAUCUUUCAUAUUUUUUAGAGCAAUAAUUGGUUGAAGCUUAGACUGAGAUUGCUUUCGAUUUCCAUGCAUCCUCUAUAUUAUAUUGUUGUUGUUGCUGCUACUAGUAUGGCGAUGACAACUGCAUCCCAAGUAUUACUCUUAAAAAUAUUUGAGCAAUGACUACACCUGUACAUUUCACUCUAAUCACUAAAAAAAAGUAAAAAAGUUUUGCAUGUGAUGAAUGAUUAGACAAUUGAGUGAGAAUGUGAGAUGAAAAUGCAUAAAAAUAAAUGCAACAAAAAUAUGCAUGUAAGUGUCCUUUAAAUAUAAACAAACAAAUAUACAUAUAUAUACAUAUAAGAAAAAUUGGAUAAGAUAGCAUUUUGAGAAUAUGAUAUAUCAAUUAUAGCAUAUUGUUUUAGAAUUUUGCAAAUAUGACAACAUUUUCAUUUCUCCAUCUUAAAUUUGUUAUUAUUCAUAAACUACCAUUCAAUAACUUAUUUAUCUUCCUCUUUUUAACGUCCUACUCAUUAUUUAUUUAUUCUCUUAAUUUUUAAGGUCACAAUUAUUUAUUCUUUCCGUCUUAAUCUUAAUUUUAAAAUAUCAAUAGUACAAUAAUUGCAAUAUGAAAUAUAAGAUAAUGAUUGUUGAUCGAAGUAAUUUAAUUUCAUUUGUGAUUUUUUCUUUUACUUUAUUCGAUGUGUAUUUUGAGUUGAAUCUGAUUCCAAAUGAUUUUGUUUUAUUUUUUUACAUUAAUUUUUUUGUUUUACUUUGUCUAAGUUUUCGUAUAUUAGUGUUGUGAUAUACUUAUAUUAUAUGUAUUAGUUGGUUAAUAUGCUUACCACGUAAUUUUCGUUUUUUCAAAUUUUAUGCAGUUCAUUAGAGUAUUAUUAAGUAUAUGAAUGAUGUAACUCAAUGUAUCAUUAUCAAGUAUAUCAACAAUAUAUUGUUAAAGCAUAUCACUAAAGUGAAUCAUUAUCAAGUAUAUGAAUAAAGUAAUUUACAAGUAUAUAUCAAUAGUAUAUCAAGUGUAUAAGUAGAACUUCAAGCACAUUAAAUGCAUUUAAUUCAUCAAUUGUAUAAGUAAAGAAUAUUAAAUGUAUAUGCAGUGUAUCAGGUGUAUCAAACAUAUAUUAGUAAUAUUUCAAGUGUGUAUCAAAAGGUAUCGAGUGUAUCAAGUGCAUCAAGUGUAUCAAUCAAAUGUAUUUAGUGUAUCAAUUGGUGUAUUAGAUGUAUAAGACGUGUAUAAGGUGUAUCAAACAUAUAUUAAUAACGAGGACAUUUGUGACAUUUUAUCUCUUGAUGUGUGAGUUGAGUUUCGUUUUUGUCAUUUUCGCAAAUAAUAAAGUGUGUGUUAUAGACUUAAUUAUUAUAACUCAUUUUGCUAUUUUUGUAAUAUAUAUAUAUAUAUAUAUUGUGCGAAAUACAAGUACAUCUUAGCACACAAAUAUUGUUAAUUCACUCAAAUGUAUAACUACAACCAUUCACAAAUGAUUUCAAAAGGCCAAACGACUCAAAC
rnacentral:lncRNA from 1 species